CGUAUGUAAGCUCUAUCAGCNGGAAGAUAAUGACGGUACCUGACUAAGAAGCACCGGCUAAAUACGUGCCAGCAGCCGCGGUAAUACGUAUGGUGCAAGCGUUAUCCGGAUUUACUGGGUGUAAAGGGAGCGCAGGCGGUGCGGCAAGUCUGAUGUGAAAGCCCGGGGCUCAACCCCGGUACUGCAUUGGAAACUGUCGUACUAGAGUGUCGGAGGGGUAAGCGGAAUUCCUAGUGUAGCGGUGAAAUGCGUAGAUAUUAGGAGGAACACCAGUGGCGAAGGCGGCUUACUGGACGAUAACUGACGCUGAGGCUCGAAAGCGUGGGGAGCAAACAGGAUUAGAUACCCUGGUAGUCCACGCCGUAAA
rnacentral:rRNA from 1 species